CAGCAGCCGCGGGAAUACGAAGGUCCCAAGCGUUGUUCGGAAUCACUGGGCGUAAAGGGAGCGUAGGCGGCGUGGUAAGUCAGGUGUGAAAUCCCGGGGCUCAACCCCGGAACUGCAUCCGAUACUGCCAUGCUUGAGGGUUGGAGAGGUAGCUGGAAUUCUUGGUGUAGCAGUGAAAUGCGUGGAUAUCAAGAGGAACACUCGUGGCGAAGACGAGCUACUGGACAACAUCUGACGCUGAGGCUCGAAGGCCAGGGUAGCGAAAGGGAUUAGAUACCCCCGUAGUCCCUGUCUCUUAUAC
rnacentral:rRNA from 1 species